rnacentral:rRNA from 1 species
AGGCUGCAACUCGCCUCGCAUGAAGUCGGAAUUGCUAGUAAUCGCAGAUCAGCAUGCCGCGGUGAAUACGUUCCCGGGCCUUGUACACACCGCCCGUCACACCAUGGGAGUCGGAUAUGCCCGAAGUCAGUGACCCAACCAUAUGGAGGGAGCUGCCGAAGGUGGAGCCGAUAACUGGGGUGAAGUCGUAACAAGGUAAC